rnacentral:rRNA from 1 species
CACGGGGGGAACGCGAAGAACCUUACCAAGGCUUGACAUGUAGGGAAAAGCCGUGGAGAUACGGUGUCCUGCGGGGUCCUACACAGGUGGUGCAUGGCUGUCGUCAGCUCGUGUCGCGAGAUGUUGGGUUAAGUCCCGCAACGAGCGCAACCCUUGUCCUAUGUUGCCAGCGGGUUAUGCCGGGGACUCGUAGGAGACUGCCGGGGUCAACUCGGAGGAAGGUGGGGAUGACGUCAAGUCAUCAUGCCCCUUACGUCUUGGGCUGCAAACAUGCUACAAUGGCUGGUACAAAGGGCUGCGAACUCGCGAGAGUGAGCGAAUCCCAUAAAGCCAGUCUCAGUUCGGAUCGUAGUCUGCAACUCGACUGCGUGAAGUCGGAGUCGCUAGUAAUCGCAGAUCAGCAUUGCUGCGGUGAAUACGUUCCCGGGUCUUGUACACACGC